ACCGCCUUUUUCUCUCUGUUACUAUUCUUUAAAGGUAUGUGAAAAAUGGCGAUUGACUGAAGAAUGCGAGAUUUCGAGUCAGUUUCAUCAUAAAUUGAUCCUUCUAAGAUUACAUAGUUCAUGUGUAUGAUCUAAUUUAACUUUAAUUGCGUUUUUGUGAAGAUUUUCGAGUCAAAACGUUGGUUUUCAAAGAAGAGAAACAAGAGAUUGGGUUUCUUCUGCAGUUGGUGAUUGAUUGAGAGCCAAGUGAAGGAAGAAUUUGAAGUUAGGGUUGUGAUUUGAUGCUAACUGAAUUGAGACAAAUAUGGAGAUAGUGAUUGUAGUCAGAUCGAGAAGAAGAUGGUAGAGAAAUUGAUGUCCGUGUUCGGUAGUUUUGAAGAUGUUGAUGGAGCUGGAUAUGGACCAAGCUGUUAGCUUCUGUUGCUGCUGCUGUGGUGGUCGGUAAUGUGACCGAAUGAUUUUGCUGGUUUAAGAUGUUGCAACUGGGUUGCUGCUGAAAACGAGUACAGUGGAUUGUUAGUUGAAGAGAUUGGAAGGUUUCAAAGACCUCCAGGUGCAGUAUCAUCUUCCAUGCUAGGUCUAGAGGCAGUCAAUGAUGGCCUGGAUGACUUCGGUUACAAAGAUUUCCAUUGCCUAAAUGAAUGAUCCACAUGAGUUUGAAACUUAAAGAGAAGUUUACAUGCAUCAUGGGUUGUUCACACAAAAAGGAAUUUGAGAAGGAGAUGAGACUGGUAGUGUUGUUGUUGAAGAAGAAGUUGUUACUGCAAUGGAUGUGUGCGGUUUUAGAUGGCUCAAAUGUUGUGGUUUGAGAAUGUGCAGGGGAUUGAAACUGCAAGGAAGGAAACUAUGGAGCUGACUUGAAUCUGGUGAUGGAGUUGAAAUACAGCUACAGGUGAAGCAACAUGAAUGGGUUCUGGACAGGGUUUGAUGGAAUUGAUUUGAUGUUGUUGGUGAUUGAAGUUGCACUGGUGAUGUCUGAAACAUAUGUGAAUGGUUAUUGUAGUUGCAGCUAAAAGCAUUGCAGGUGUUGAGCUGAAGCUGGUGGUGGUAUGUAGAGAUGAGUGAUGUGUUGUAGUUGAGGACAAAAACAAGGUCUGGAUUGCAGUGGUGUGAUGAUUGUAGCUGAGUUGAAGUCUUAAUGCAGCUAAGCUUGAUGUUGCUAUGAGGUGGAAGUGCUGUUUUAGUGAGCUGCGGUAUGUUUGAAAUGGAUGUGGUGUUUACUGAUAGAUGGAAGAAAGAUAGAACAGCAGAGUUGCUUAAGUGUGCCACGUCAGCAAGAUGCCACCACGUCAAGGAGAUGCCCACCACGUCAGCCAUGGAUUAACUGCGGUUAACAUUUGCUUGAGUUAAGAGCGAGGGAAUUUUGGGGACAGUUAACCCCGGUUUUUUUAAAAACUGUUAUGUCGUCCAGUGGACUGAAUUACAAAAAAGUAUGACCAUUUUGUAAAUGGUCCUUAACUCCUUAUCAAUUUUUGGAAAGGUUCUUUUAUUUUUGUUUUUUUAGUACACGUGACUGCCACGUCUGUCCAAGCUGUUUGUAACCGCUGUUGAAAUAGCACGGUUGGGUGGACACUGGACAUAGAGUUUUGUUUAACAGCUAAAGAUAUAGUGAAGAAUUUGAAGGCAACAUUUCGUCAAUUUAGAAGGGUUACUAAGUUCUUUGAAUUUUUA